CUGAUGUCUUUAGAUCACAAGGCGGUCAUAUUAUUAUUCAUCAUAUAAGAUAUAGUACAUAAAAAGCUCAGCGUUAGGAAUGAAAAGUGGUAGAAAAUGAUAUUGCUUAUUACAUUCACAUUGGGCGAUUGAUCCGGUAUAUAUAUGUAGAUGCAGAAAACAGAUAUAUAGUACUCGACGCAUUCACAUUGCUCGGGUGCAUAUCGGUAGGUACGUAGUAGUAUAGUAUAGUAUAUAUAUUUAUGAUGAUGCAGGAGUCGGCGGGCCGGUAGAAUUGCCGUAGCCCUAGUUUUUCACUUUUUCCAUGUGAGGAACUCUCCUGAGACAAAGUCGUAGUGGGCGCCGAUCAGCUUGAGGGUCCCAUUUGCAAGCCCUUCCUUGACGAAGGGGUAGGUCUUGAGGUUCUCCAGGGACACGUUCACGGCCUCCUGCAGAAACAAUAGAGGUCCUUUUGGUGAGCAAAAACCAAUCUAUUCAUGCAACAGUAACUGCUCGACGAAUGUACAACAUACCUUCUCGAGAAUGGAGCACUGGUCAUCGAACGGCACCGAGGCGUGCUCUUUCUUUACCUUCAUCUUGGCAAUGAAGCCGAUCUUAACCCAGUCCUCGACGAAGUGGCUGCGUACGUACACCACACCAAACCAACACACAACAUGGUAUAGAGAGGAUCAAAAUCAUGCAUGACAUAAAUAAGCGCAAAUAGUUUUUUAUAUCUAAAUGAAACUUGUAUAUAUUUUACUGUCGCGACUUACAAGGUGUCAGGUGCGCCGUCCUGGAGGGAGAGGAGCGCCCUGAUGCCACCGCAGCAGCUAUGGCCAAUGACCACGAGGACCUCCACCUUGAGAGCGCACACAGCGUACUCGAUGGCGGACCCGAUGCCGGUGUACUUGGUCUGCAGUCGACACGAAAACGAGAGGCCGCGGCCGGCCGUGUGAGUAGAAAUUGAGACCAUUGCGUUGUUCACAAUCGUCAGUGUGUAUAUAUACCUUGUCGUAGCCUGGGACCAUGGCGGCUAUGUUGCGAACGGUGAAGGCCUCGCCGGGCUGCAGGCCCAGGGUCACCGAUGGGCACACACGGGAGUCGGAGCAAGCGAACACCAUGUACUGCAUGCAGCAUAGCAAAAUCACUGUCAUGUCAGGUCAGGCAAAAAGAAGGAGCACAAAAAAUCAGGCCGGUUCCCGCGGUUGUUAGCUAUGCAGCGACAAUGCCAUCCCCACAGGUCAUCCAAUUAGUAUAUAUAUAUAUCAUGGCUGAGCUCCUUGAUCUAUAUGGCGCCGAUACGUGUUAUGUCGGUAGCGUAGACUACGCCGAUAUACUAGGUCUAAUGUCGACUUUCACAAGGAUACAUAUAAUUUUUUUUUUCAAAAGAAGUUUUAAAAUAUGGUAAUUUUUAUGGAUAACAAAACUAGUAGAACCCGCUAAAAGCAUGAACGCAUGCAUGAAAUAAUCAUGCGCAUGGGAUAGAUGCCAACUCAGAACACCCAUAAAGAAAAACAAUAAACUCUGUACUUGGUUACUUGCAAUAUUCUGGCACGCCAGGUUCUAUAUACUAGGAAGUGAGCCUAUAUAGGGACGGCGGCAUCUCAAUAAUUUACCAAGCAAAUGCAAGUCUCGCCAGCUUAGCAUAUAUGGCAGCACAUGGGUUAGCAAUUAGCACGCGCGCGGGGCGCAUGCAUUUGGUUCAGAAGAAUAAGAAUGGAGUAUAGGCUAGUAGGCAAUAGCGCAUACCUUGGGGGCCUGGCCGGACUUGAGAGGCCCGAAAAGCUCCGGCUUCUUGCUGUGAAAUGAAGAAAAAAAAAUCAAACGUACUAGCACAGGAAUAAUAUAGGAUCAGUCGAAGCUAUAUCAGAAUUCCCGAUACAAAUGAAACGUUUGAAACUGAAACGGCUAAACCAAACGCCGGUGCUGCAGAAAACAACAGCCAGCUCUGAGUAGUAGAGGGGUGACUUACUCAUAGACAUUGACCUUGAACUGCUGGAACCCGCUCGUCAAGCGCUCGAUGGCGUCCUGGGGCUGCAGGACCAGCAACAAGAAAAUCGUCGGUCAGUUCGCCAUGCCCGGAAAGACUAACUUGCAUGCUCGUGAUGGUACGGUGAUAGAUGCAGCAUGAGGGGGGUAUAGAGAGAGCGAGAGAAUGAAGGGGGCGUGAUGCAACUUUUGGCCACACUGGACCGGGUGGGUGGGCUUCUGGUUCUCAAGGAGUGACGAGGUGCGUGGGAAUCUAUGGGAGGGCAAAGGCGCUGCUCUGCUCUUUUCUUCGUCUCCUGAUAUCCUCCCAUGCAUGUCAACAAGCUAAGGGGAGAGAAAGAAAUUGCGAUGGCAAACAAGGGAGAUAAAUUAAAGGGGGCUGGCCGGAUGAUGUUGGGAAUUGGGAUCUGGAGUGCGCUAGCUAUGUGCAAAUGCAAGACGACGGACGUGAUGUCGUCAAUAUAGCAAUUGAAAAAAAAAGGUAAGAGCAACUCCAAGAGCUUAUGUAAAACAAAUUGACUAGCUAAAAAUAAUAAAAUUGGAGUAAAAAUUGGAUCCAACAGUCUCUUCAAAUCCUUCUCUCGCUAUCCAACUCGGUAAACAACCCCCUCCGCUAGCCAAAUAUGACUAAUUCCCUACGCUAGCUAUCCGGUCCUCCCAUAGCCUUUGUCCUCAGCCGGAGUGGAGGCAGGACGGUGUAGCAUAGGCGCGUGGGACAUAGGGAAGAAGGCAAGGUGAGAAUGACAUGUGGGACCUACCAGUCUAAUUUGGCUAGUCUGUUGGAAUUAAUCGUAAUUUAGAGAGUGAAUUAUAGCUAAACGGCUAGCUAAAUGAGAAUAUAGAAUAAAAAAUUUGGCUAAUCUAUUGGAGUUGCUCUAAAAGAAGAGCUGUGCGCGUGGACCCCUACAGGCUCCCAUGUGACGAACUGCCCUUUGACGAAGUCGUAGUGGGCGCCAACCAGCUUGAGCGUCCCGCCGGCCAGCCCUUCCUUGACGAAGGGGUAGCUCUUGAGGUUCUGGAGCGACACGUUCACGGCCUCCUGCAGAAACACACACACACAAUUAAAGGUCGAUGAUGAUCCUUGAAUUUGUUCGUUGAUGAGCGAAACCAAUAAUAUAUAAUCCAUUAUUCAUACGGUCGGUGUGUGUGCGUGCGUUUACGUUACGUACCUUCUCCAGGAUGGAGCACUGGUCAUCGAACGGCACCGAUGCGUGCUCUUUCUUCACCUUGUUCUUGGCAGGGCUGCCGAUCCUGACCCAGUCCUCCACGAAGUGGCUGGAUAUACAUGGCCAGAUUUAAACCAACGACAGACAACACGCUGAGCAGGUUACACUACACGGGGUUCUAAUUUUUUUCUCUCUCUCUAAAUAAAACUGCUAUAUAUAUUUUUUAUACGCAUUUUACGAUGACUACUGCUUACAAG
rnacentral:lncRNA from 1 species